ensembl:lncRNA
UUCAUUCUUUGCAUUUAGACUUUAUUAUAUGAGGUCUGCACGUUGAGUUCAACUGAGGACAAACCGACUGGCAGACAUUACUUCACAGUUAAAUGGGACUGCUCCACUGUUGUUGAACCAGGAAAGCGUAAAACCGGAGUCCACAUAAUAGAAUUAGUAUGCAAUUUAGCAGUGUUCCAGGAUGAAAUGGCUUUAUGGUCUCUAAUACUGGCGCAAUGCUUACACAUCAAACUCACGGCACUCUUACCAAGCAUAAUCCCAACUCUACAAUUGGAUCUAUUCAGGCCAGUUUCACACAGAUGAAGUCCCAAAAGACUUUAUCAGACCUUUGUGAAUGUCCAUCUGGCAGCAGCCUAGAUAUGAAUAUGACACAAAACUGAUACAAAGGAGAGAAUGCUUCCCAAGCAGCGGCUGGGGGGAGGAGGUGAAGAGAAAAGAUAAAAGGAAAUGUCAUUGGGAUAAUCAGAGAAAAUCAGAAAAGGAAGGAGGUGUAAAGGCUAAAACACAUACUCAGCACUUAUAUUAUGGAAUUUUAAGUCACAUGUUCAGAUUUCAUUUAUUUUACUGGACUCUGGUGCAACUUACAAUGCAUGUCUAAAAUUAUCUGCACUUCUGUCAACAGUUUUGGUCCUAGUAUCAGGCAAAAACUAGCACCCAGUUGCAAAGUCCAAGUAUCCAAUUGCAAAAUCUGCUUCCAGCCACAUUCCAAGGCAAGUAUCUUGCCUCUAAUAGAUGAUUUCUAAAGAUAUGUCACCACUUCGAAUAGCAACAAAUUUACAAUUGCAAAUACAACUGACCUUUUAGCAUUUCCAUAAUCAGGAUAUGAAUUGUGAAGCCUAUGCCUUCUAACCAUCUAAACUUGAUUCAUCCUCAGUCAAAUCCUAAACCCUAUUCCAAACUUAAUUCAGACCAUACUAUCUUAAUUUCUUUUAAAACUCAAAACAAGACCUGUAGUAAAACAGGUCAUUCUUACAAAUUUCCUGCUAAUACUAGCAAUCCACGGAGUACGUUUAAUCCAUGAGACCUUUAGUCUCUCCCUAGGAUGAGUCUUCAUUAUUCAGGCAGAGGACAGGUGUGCCAAACAAUGAACCACAGAAAUCAGGUCCAUAAUUGCCAUUAGACAAAAGAAAAGUUUUUGACACAUUUUAUGUUCCCAAUAAUGCAUUGCCAUUGUCAGAAUUUUCUCUUAUAUAAAGAUGCUUUAUCUAAAAUCUAAAAAUAGAAAUGGUAAGGCUCAGGAAAUAGUAUAAUAAUCAAAAGAAGCCUCAUCCUUUUACAACUUUGGCCUUUUACAUCUUGUGAGAAAUGUUAACACUGGUUACAAAACUAAAAUAAAAAAUAAAGUGUUCCCUAAAUUCUUGUCCUAGAGUUGGACUUUAGUAUAGAAUUUAUAUAAAUGUAGCUUAAGGACCAAGAUACACUAUCUUUUAAGAAACUUUACAGGUUUUUUUCACCUAUCCUUGCCCACUCAUUCCAAAGAAUCUAUUUUAAUUUAAUCAAUCAGAAAUGUUACUCAUUUAUUAUUCAUUUAUCCCAGUAAAAGCAAUAUUAAAAUAUGUAUUUAAUGGAAAAUUAAGCUUUUAAAACCAAAUUUUAGUACUGAUAACGUGCAUAACACUGUUGAAACUUUGUAAGCUCUCUACAUUCCCAUUUGAUCUCUUGAGAAAGAGAUGAACUCAGCACCAGCCCUGAAAAAUCACGUACAUGCUCACACAAAUAUGGAAGCCUUGAGAUAAAACUGAAAAUUAUAUUUUAGGAAAACUUACGACAAAUUUGGAGCUAUAAUGUCAUAAAUCAACUAAGAUUAUGUGAACAUUUCUAUCUAAUUUGGUCAGCGAGGUAAAUUUAUAAAGCUUCCACAAGCAUGGUGGAGAUUUGGAAUGGAGUAUGCUGCAUUAAUUAUUUAACUUAAUAUGACAACAAAUGAAGCAAUAUAGUAAAAGUAAAGCAGCCCUCAGAUAACUGAAGAGACAACUGCAAUACAAUAGCCACAAGCUGAAGAGACACAGUCUAUCAAUACUAGCAACAGACCAACCAGAAAAAAACUGAAAUGAUAACAAGACUUUUCUUCCAGAGAAAGUCUUAAUCACUGCAGUAGAAAACACUUUUUUUCUGUGGAGGAGUCCAAAAGAGCUGGAUUUGUUCCCAAAUUCAGGAAAUAGUGAACUUUAAUAGAACAACGGACAAACUAACUCACUGAGGUUCAACUUUAUAAGCUGUAACAAUGCAGAAGGUAUUAAUUUACAGCAUACUUACACUAAACACCACUCCCAUCAAUAUUUUAACAGUUGUCAUCAAGCAAACAGUAAAAUCAGAGCCUCAUUACACUGAAAGAUGUGAAGCUGUUAACACACAUCUUAGUAAGAAGUUGCAUUUCAGAAUCAAACACCCUAAGGCUUUGAUUUGAAAUUGCCCACACUUGUUGUCUCUCAGGACAUAGUUCAGUAACCAUUUUCCC